rnacentral:piRNA from 1 species
UGCAAUCAAAUUCCAGGUCUCAUUCACCAA